AUUGAACGCUGGCGGCAUGCUUUACACAUGCAAGUCGAACGGCAGCGCGGGGCAACCUGGCGGCGAGUGGCGAACGGGUGAGUAAUACAUCGGAACGUACCCAGAAGUGGGGGAUAACGUAGCGAAAGUUAUGCUAAUACCGCAUACGUUCUACGGAAGAAAGUGGGGGACCUUCGGUCCUCAUGCUUUUGGAGCGGCCGAUGUCUGAUUAGCUAGUUGGUGAGGUAAAGGCUCACCAAGGCGACGAUCAGUAGCUGGUCUGAGAGGACGACCAGCCACACUGGGGCUGAGACACGGCCCAGACUCCUACGGGAGGCAGCAGUGGGGAAUUUUGGACAAUGGGCGCAAGCCUGAUCCAACAAUGCCGCGUGAGUGAAGAAGGCCUUCGGGUUGUAAAGCUCUUUUGUCAGGGAAGAAACGGCUGGGGCUAAUACCUCUGGCUAAUGACGGUACCUGAAGAAUAAGCACCGGCUAACUACGUGCCAGCCGCCGCCGUAACAC
rnacentral:rRNA from 1 species